rnacentral:rRNA from 1 species
CCAAUAGCGUAUAUUAAAGUUGUUGCAGUUAAAAAGCUCGUAGUUGAACUUCGGGGUCUACCCAUUGGUCAGGCUUAAUUGUCUGUACUGGUGAGAUGGAUCUCUACCUUCUGAGGAACUUUCAUGCCAUUUAUUUGGUGUGGUUGGAAAUCAGGACUGUUACUUUGAAAAAAUUAGAGUGUUUAAAGCAGACUAUCGUCUGAAUACAUUAGCAUGGAAUAAUGAAAUAGGACGGACUGAUUCUAUUUCGUUGGUUUCUAGGAUCACCGUAAUGAUUAAUAGGGAUAGUUGGGGGCAUUAGUAUUCAAUUGUCAGAGGUGAAAUUCUUGGAUUUAUUGAAGACUAACUACUGCGAAAGCAUUUGCCAAGGAUGUUUUCAUUAAUCAAGAACGAAAGUUAGGGGAUCGAAGACGAUCAGAUACCGUCGUAGUCUUAACCAUAAACUAAGCCGACUAGGGAUCGGACGAAGUUAAUUUUAUAAUGACGCGUUCGGCACCUUACG